ACGAACGCUGGCGGCAUGCCUAACACAUGCAAGUCGCACGAGACCUUCGGGUCUAGUGGCGCACGGGUGCGUAACGCGUGGGAACCUGCCCUUAGGUUCGGAAUAACUCCCCGAAAGGGGUGCUAAUACCGGAUAAUGUCUUCGGUCCAAAGAUUUAUCGCCUUUGGAUGGGCCCGCGUUGGAUUAGCUAGUUGGUAGGGUAAAAGCCUACCAAGGCGACGAUCCAUAGCUGGUCUGAGAGGAUGAUCAGCCACACUGGGACUGAGACACGGCCCAGACUCCUACGGGAGGCAGCAGUGGGGAAUAUUGGACAAUGGGCGAAAGCCUGAUCCAGCAAUGCCGCGUGAGUGAUGAAGGCCUUAGGGUUGUAAAGCUCUUUUACCCGGGAUGAUAAUGACAGUACCGGGAGAAUAAGCUCCGGCUAACUCCGUG
rnacentral:rRNA from 1 species